ACAAGGUCUCCGUUGGUGAACCAGCGGAGGGAUCAUUACCGAGUUUACAACUCCCAAACCCAAUGUGAACCAUACCAAACUGUUGCCUCGGCGGGGUCACGCCCCGGGUGCGUCGCAGCCCCGGAACCAGGCGCCCGCCGGAGGGACCAACCAAACUCUUUUCUGUAGUCCCCUCGCGGACGUUAUUUCUUACAGCUCUGAGCAAAAAUUCAAAAUGAAUCAAAACUUUCAACAACGGAUCUCUUGGUUCUGGCAUCGAUGAAGAACGCAGCGAAAUGCGAUAAGUAAUGUGAAUUGCAGAAUUCAGUGAAUCAUCGAAUCUUUGAACGCACAUUGCGCCCGCCAGUAUUCUGGCGGGCAUGCCUGUCCGAGCGUCAUUUCAACCCUCGAACCCCUCCGGGGGGUCGGCGUUGGGGAUCGGGAACCCCUAAGACGGGAUCCCGGCCCCGAAAUACAGUGGCGGUCUCGCCGCAGCCUCUCCUGCGCAGUAGUUUGCACAACUCGCACCGGGAGCGCGGCGCGUCCACGUCCGUAAAACACCCAACUUCUGAAAUGUUGACCUCGGAUCAGGUAGGAAUACCCGCUGAACUUAAG
rnacentral:rRNA from 1 species